GACGAACGCUGGCGGCGUGCUUAAUACAUGCAAGUCGAGCGCACGGACGCGCAGGUUGUUUCUGUGAUGUUAGCGGCGGACAGGUGAGUAACACGUGGAUAUCCCCUGCCUCCUUCUUCGAUAUCUUCGUGUAACCGGAGCUCUUAUAGCGUGUUAUUUUGAAUCGCCUGGUUCAAAAGUGAAAGACGGUCUUUCUGUCGCUUAUGGAUGGCUCCCCGCGGCAUUAGCUAGUUGGUAAGGUAACGGCUUACCAGGGCAACGAUGCAUAGCCGACCUGAGAGGGUGAGCGGGCACACGGGAACUGAGACACUGAGCAGACGCCUACGGGAGUCAGCGGUGGAGAAGCGGCCGCAAUUGGCGAAAGCCUGACGGAGCAACGCCGCGAGAGUGAUGAAGGUCUGCGGAUCGUAGGACUCUGUUAUUAGGGAGGAAGAUAUGUAUCAGUGACGGUGCACAUCGUGAGGGUAGUGAGUCAGAAAGCCACGGCUAACUACGUG
rnacentral:rRNA from 1 species